rnacentral:rRNA from 1 species
GACGAACCGUGCGAACGUUGUUCGGAUUCACUGGGCUUAAAGGGCGCGUAGGCGGGCAUUCAAGUCAGGGGUGAAAUCCUCCGGCUCAACCCGGAGAAGUGCCUUUGAUACUGAAUGCCUCGAGCGGGAUAGGGGCAGCUGGAACUUCCGGUGGAGCGGUGAAAUGUGUAGAUAUCGGAAAGGAACGCCGGUGGCGAAAGCGGCU